rnacentral:lncRNA from 1 species
GGGGUCCGCAUUUUCCCCGCAAAAAAAGCACAUGGCUUUCAACAAUUGUAAACAUAGCAUUCAAUUUGUGAUCAUGGAUUACAGCUUUAAUUAACUUAAAUUGGAUAUAUAUAUAUUCAACAUGUUCAAUUUUAAUAAAGUACAGUUAAAGCAAUGUUUUAACUUUCCUCUGGAUUAAGUUCUACAGUGGCGGAUCCAGAACUUUUCCUAAGGGGGAGCCCGCUGACUGACCUAAGAGGGGGCUCGCUCCAGUCAUGCUUCAAUGAUUCCCUUUAUAAUCAACCAAUUUUUUUCCACGAAAAAGGGGGGGGGGCCUGGAUCCGCCUAUGUUCUAGUUUGAAAGAUCAGUUAAAACAUUAAUGCUUUAACACAUUCUUUAUUUUUGUCUAAGUUUUCAUUUAACUCCUGUGUAAAAUUCAAGUAAUUCAACUUUAUUUCUAUUAAGUUUACAAACAGAAACCCAUAAAACAUAUUUUUUAAUAUAUUUUUCUGAAUGGUACGACUUCCCAGUAGUACAAGUUAACUUUUUUGGUUCCAAUGCCGCGGUACGAGUUAACUUGCUUCCGUAUCUUAUCACCGUAAUUCUAGGAGGAACCCUAAACUGGACCCCUGUUGUGUUCACUUAUCGUUACACUGACCUUCGGUGCGAAGCUAUAUAUAGAACGGCGGACCAGUUUAGGAGGAACCCCAUUUCUUACUCUUUAAGUUAUUGAAGUUCCUUUGGGUCAGAUGGCAUGACUCCUUUCCGUACACACUCCUCUGUUUACAUUGAGAUCGUUCUUAAUAUAAUACGACGUUUAUCGGCAUUAACGAGUUAAUUCUUCUUGACCAAUACUUCGAAAAGGGAGACAACUCGAAACGAUAAUAUGGAAGAUUCCAUUUCUGCUGAAGGGGUGUUAUAGGAAAUUUUUACGAUGAAACAUUUAUUUUAAUUUAAAUUAUGCAUAUGAUUUAAAAUUGUGCAACAACAAUAGCCCUCCAUAUGCAGACAGACAUAGAAAGAAUCCCAUGAGUUUCAAAUUAAUCAAUGAAGCGGGGAAUCACUCAAUCUGAUACCCCUUGAAAUCAGGAAAACUACACGCAUGUGGGGUCUCACUAAUUAGCGACAAAAAUCGUCAAGAAGCGACAAGAAAAAAAAAUUAGUGACAAAAAGCAACAAGAAGCUAUUUAGCGACAAGAAUACAUUUUGUUAUCACAUACAUCAAAAUAUUUUUUUAGGAUUAUAUUGAAAGAUGAAGAAAUAAAAAAAAUUCGAGGAAGAGAUUGUG